CCUGACUGCAGACCAGAUUACCCGCUGAAUUUAAGCAU
rnacentral:rRNA from 1 species